rnacentral:rRNA from 1 species
UUGAACGCUGGCGGCAGGCCUAACACAUGCAAGUCGAGCGGAUGAGUGGAGCUUGCUCCAUGAUUCAGCGGCGGACGGGUGAGUAAUGCCUAGGAAUCUGCCUGGUAGUGGGGGGACAACGUUUCGAAAGGAACGCUAAUACCGCAUACGUCCUACGGGAGAAAGCAGGGGACCUUCGGGCCUUGCGCUAUCAGAUGAGCCUAGGUCGGAUUAGCUAGUAGGUGAGGUAAUGGCUCACCUAGGCGACGAUCCGUAACUGGUCUGAGAGGAUGAUCAGUCACACUGGAACUGAGACACGGUCCAGACUCCUACGGGAGGCAGCAGUGGGGAAUAUUGGACAAUGGGCGAAAGCCUGAUCCAGCCAUGCCGCGUGUGUGAAGAAGGUCUUCGGAUUGUAAAGCACUUUAAGUUGGGAGGAAGGGCAGUAAGUUAAUACCUUGCUGUUUUGACGUUACCAACAGAAUAAGCACCGGCUAACUUCGUG